rnacentral:rRNA from 1 species
UUCGAGUAAGCGCGGGUAAACGGCGGGAGUAACUAUGACUCUCUUAAGGUAGCCAAAUGCCUCGUCGGCUAACUACCGACGCGCACGAACGCGCCAGGUCGGGGGCGCAAGGUAGAAAUACCCGCUGCCGUGAUUAUUCGUCUCAGUAACAAACAGGCGCAGCAUUGCCACCGUGCCGUCGCCUUUCUUAACUGUCGAUAAUCGAAAACCGGCGAGUAACCAACGCAGUACUGGUUACGGAGCCAAACUAAGAUGGUUUCACAAGUCAUGAAUCAUGGCAGAUUCCACCGUAGUUGGCAGUUUGAAAAAACUAUUUGAACCUCUGGGGCAAGUUCUUAUAUGGUAGCUGAAACGUUACUGAGUAACAUCAGCUAACAUAGUCUUGAAUGUAAUCUCACUAUAACUUAGUUGAGGUUAGCCGUUAUCUAGGACAUAGUUUAUACUACAUCGUAGUUAACGAGACCCAACAAUAUACGUACAAUGUUGGGUUGGCCUGAAUCCUACUUUACAGGCCUUGGUUUCUCAGUACCAUUAAACCGUAAAAAGUAAGGCAACAAAUGUGGUUAGAUUGUUCUAAUCUGUGAGCGUCUUACAGGCAAUCCUCUAUCUUACACUCUCAUUGUAAGCUAGGGAACCAUGAUUCUCUUCCCAAAGAGGUAAUAUCGAAUAUAAGUCAUCCUAAAAUGACUUCAUUAACUCUUGGGAAUAGAAUGUUCAACCGGGUCAUGGGUAUUCAUCAUGUCACCUAGGCGGAGCGAGCAAACCAGGACACUCGAACGGUCUAGGUGGGGCAAGAGUCGGAGUAACGGAUCGCUUAAGUAGAACUACUUAAUCUAUGAUGGUUCAUUCAUUAAAUAGGUCUACGCCGGUCUGUUAGGGGGGCCCGAAUGGAUGCGGUUGAUCCUGCCUGAACUG